rnacentral:rRNA from 1 species
GGUGAGUCGGGUCCUAAGGCGAGGCCGACAGGCGUAGUCGAAUGGAUGAACGGGUGGAUAUUCCCGUACCGACCAUGGACCGGCAAAACCGAGACGGUGAGUACUAACCUCCGCCUCGUGGUGGUUCCUUCCUUCGGGUUGGUUCCGCCGCGUGGUGUUGGGAGCGUAGCCGCAGUAGGUCAGCGCAGGGGUGACACGGAAUGGGAGCCGGCCGCGGAGGUGGUUUUCCGUGGUCAAGCACGCAGCCAGUCAUGUAGGCAAAUCCGCAUGGCGUGCAUGGCGAGGUGUGAUGAUGGGAGCCGUUAUGGCUCGAUAUCCGGUUGUCCAGGCCGUCGAGAAAAGCCUCGGCGUGAGGGCCAUGGCCGCCCGUACCCCAAACCGACACUGGUGGUCAGGUAGAGAAUACCAAGGCGAUCGAGCGAAUCCUGGUCAAGGAACUCGGCAAAUCACUCCCGUGCCUUCGGUAUAAGGGAGACCCACUGGGGUGAAGGACCUUGCGUCCGGAGCUUUGGUGGGUGGCACAGACCAGGGGGUAGCGACUGUUUACCAAAAACACAGGUGCAUGCGAAGGCGAAAGCCGCUGUAUAUGCACUGACGCCUGCCCGGUGCCGGAAGGUUAAGAGGAUCCGUCAGCCUUCGGGUGAAGCGGUGAAUUCAAGCCCCGGUAAACGGCGGUGGUAACUAUAACCAUCCUAAGGUAGCGAAAUUCCUUGUCGGGUAAGUUCCGACCUGCACGAAUGGCGUAACGACUUCCCCACUGUCUCGACCAGGAGCUCGGCGAAAUUGCAGUACGAGUAAAGAUGCUCGUUAAGCGCAGAAGGACGAAAAGACCCCGGGACCUUUACUAUACCUUGGUAUUGGCGUUAGGCGCGGAUUGUGUAGCAUAGGCGGGAGGCUUCGAAGCGUGGGCGCCAGCUCAUGUGGAGCCGCAAGGUGAAAUACCGCUCUGUUCUCGUUUGACGUCUAACCUCGACAAGUCAUCCUUGUCAGGGACAGUGCCUGGCGGGUAGUUCAACUGGGGCGGUUGCCUCCCAAAGAGUAACGGAGGCGCUCAAAGGUCCGCUCAGCCCGGUUGGCAAUCGGGUGUCGAGUGUAAUCGCACAAGCGGGCUUGACUGCGAGGACGACGGUCCGAGCAGGGACGAAAGUCGGAGAUAGUGAUCCGGUGCCGGCGCACGGGCGCGGCAUCGCUCAACGGAUAAAAGGUACCCCGGGGAUAACAGGCUGAUCAUUCCCAAGAGUCCAUAUCGACGGGAUGGUUUGGCACCUCGAUGUCGGCUCGUCGCAUCCUGGGGCUGGAGCAGGUCCCAAGGGUUCGGCUGUUCGCCGAUUAAAGCGGCACGCGAGCUGGGUUCAGAACGUCGUGAGACAGUUUGGUCUCUAUCCUCUGCGCUCGUUGGAAUCCUGAGGAGGCCUGCCCAUAGUACGAGAGGACCUGGGUGGACGAACCUCUGGUAUGCCGGUUGUCGCGCCAGCGGCACGGCCGGUUGGCUACGUUCGGGAGGGAUAACCGCUGAAAGCAUCUAAGCGGGAAGCCUGCUCCAAGAUAAGCAUUCCGUGGAACCUUCGAGUUCCUGUAGUCCCCAUGCAGAACACGUGGUCGAUAGGCCGGACGUGGAAGCCCCGCGAGGGGUGGAGCCGACCGGUACUAACGGACGAAAGGCAACACUA